rnacentral:lncRNA from 1 species
AGAGUAUAUACCUAGUUCUAAGAAAAAUAAAUAAACAAGUGAUGAUAUUUUCAAAAAAUAGUAAGUGAGGAUAUACCUAACAAAGAUACCGCUCGCAGAUCAACUAGCCUUCUAUAAAUUCCCUAACAUUUCUGUACUCAUACCAUCUCUUCAUUCUCUCUCACCCAGGCAUCUAACAAGGUUAGGAAAUAAAAUUGUGCUAAGAUUUACUUAUGGUUUAUAAGCAUCGACAUUUUAGCGUAUGUAAUCUCAUGUUUGGGUAUUUAAGAUGUUUCUUUCUUGUCUCUCUUUUAGACCUGAACCCUAAUAAAGAGACAAACUAGUUUUUCUCUCCUACCCGACAGGAGGAUCAGAAUGUUUCUGCAUUAAAUUAUAGAUUUUGCAUCUAGAUGCUGAUGCAAUUAUGUCCAAAUACACAACAUCUGAAUAUUAAUUUGCAUUGAUAUGCAGUGUCUAGAUACAAAAACGAACAUGACCUAAAUACUAUAAUAGAGAAAAUUUACUCUAACCCACAUAUGUUUAUUUCCUAAAUAGAGAUUGCUAUUUUCUUCUAUAUUUAAAAGAAAAUAGUAUUCUUUUAUUAUAGAGUCAUAUUUUUAUUUUCAUAAAUUUUCUUUCACUUUUAACCUUUUAUAAUUAUAAGUAAAACAAAUAGUUAUAGAGAAAUACAAAUAUUCUAUACAGAUUUAAAAUACAAUUUUGUUUGCAUAAUAAUGUCUAGUUUGUAUUAUUAUUUUGUAUAAUGUACCUUUGUGAUACCUAGUUCUAAGAAAAAAAAAUAAACAAGUGAUGAUAUUUUUCAAAAAAUAGUAAGUGAGGAUAUACCUAACAAAGAUACCGCUCGCAGAUCAACUAGCCUUCUAUAAAUUCUCUAACAUUUCUGUACUCAUACCAUCUCUUCAUUCUCUCUCACCCAGGCUUCUAAUUUAACAAGGUUAGGAAACAAAAUUGUGUUAAGAUUUACUUAUGGUUUAUAAGCAUCGACAUUUUAGCGUAUGUAAUCUCAUUUUUGGGUAUUUAAGAUGUUUCUUUCUUGUCUCUCUUUUAGACCUGAACCCUAAUAAAGAGACAA